GACUGACAAUAAGCAACACAAAAGCUCAAAUAAAUUGUUUCUCAUCUCUUUGGAAUCAUGUGGAGCAAACAGGUGGAUUUGACAUGAGGAUACCUAUGCACGAGGCCAAGACCACUAAUACCUAGUCCUGGGGAUGAUCACCUAAAAGCAAAUGUUCAAUAUUUUCUACAUCGCCCUAGAUGCUGGCUGCACACAGGCCUGUAGGUGUACUUGUGGGAUGGCAACAGAUUACACAGAAUCUUUAAUGGCCUUGAGAAGCACUCAUAAGGCUUCUUUUUCUUUAUCUUUAUCCUUUAAGA
rnacentral:lncRNA from 1 species